AUGGCCUCCUUCCCCCCCUCCUCUGGGCAUGGGAGGACCCGUGAGCUUCGUUGGCGAGAUGCCAGCCCGACCGGCUCCCCUGCCUCGGCCCGCCCUGCUUCCUAUGCCCAGGCGGCAGCCUCGCCCCCGUCGCCUUCUCCUCCGGCCGCCCGUCCGUGCCCACACUCCGAGAUCCACCGCGUCUAUCCGGUGGAGGAGCCUGUGGAUCUGCUGGCGGAUGCAGGCUGGACCGAUGUCCGCGGCCGUGGUCGUGACCGCCGUCCCCGCCUGCGCCCGCGUCCUCCUCGCCGCGACCGGGCCGCUCCCCACCGGGACCCUGCCUCCCCGUGGCCCGCGGAGUGCCCGCGCUGCCUCAGCCCCUCCCCCGACCACCGCCCUGCCGAGUGUCGGCGCGACGUGCGCUGCCGCCAUUAUGGCCACGUCGCUCGGUUCUGCUCCGCUCCGCGCGCCCACUCCUCUGGUUCGCCGCCCCACAAGCGGUUGCACCCCCGCUCCCCUGGGUCGUCUGCGGCGAGCGUCGCCGGACCAUGCGGCCCUGCGUCCUCCUGGGCUCGGUCCGUGCCGUCCUCGCUUGCGGCCUCGGCGUCCGCCUCUCCGCCCGUGGCCUCGCCGCGCGCCUCCCCGCCGACUUCGGAGUCCCCCCCCAUCCCCCCCGCGGUUCGGUCUGGUCCAUCCUCUGCCACAGCCUCGCCGCUGUCCGGCCAUCCAUCCCUGCGCCCCGCGGCGGCGGUCUGUUACCUCCCGUGGUGCGAUGAGAUGGCGGAGGCUGAGUUGGAGCUGCAGUCUGCGCUUGUGGCUACGGUGGACGGCAACCGCGGCGGCAUCUCUGUCAAGAUCACCGCGGCGCUCCUGGAGUGGUUUGGCCUCCAGCGUCACGCGUUCUCCGUGAACCGCCACUAUCCCGACGACUUCCUCGUCCGUUUCCGGUCUUUGGAGGACCGUGCUCAGGUGGCGGCCAGCAGCCUCCGCUCCCCCCGCUUUCGCCUGAUGUUCAGCCCCUGGAGCCACCUCGCCGGCGAUGAGCCGGUGACCGCACAUUUCCGUGUGCGCAUCUCGAUCCGCGGUAUCCCAGAUCAUGCCUGGUCCCGUUCUUCUGCGGAAUUCCUCCUGGCCCCCUUCUGCCUCAUUGAGGACCUGGCGCCUGAGACGAGCUCCGGCCAGGACAUGUCGGAAUUCCGCCUGUUCGCUUGGACCGCCAAUCCUGACAGCAUCCCGCGCAUGUCCGAGCUCCUCUUGCCGGCGCGCGACGGGAUUGAUCACCGCGCCGACCCAGACCGCGUCUUCCGGUUCGCGCGCCCGCUCCUCCGCUUCCCGGUUUCCAUCCACGUCGACGAGACUGAAGAUUACCGCCUCCCGGGCCCGCCUUCGCCGCCCGACGUUGAUCUGGACGCCCCGGACCGUGGCUCUCCUCCGGAGGCCGAGCGCGCCGUGGCAGAGGAGCGUGAGCGAGCAGCUGUAGCAACAGCUGCUGCGGCAGCAAGGGUGUCAAGGCUGGCUGCAGCGGAGCUGGCAGCAGCCAGGGCGGAGGUAGAAGCAGCAGCAGCAGCAGACGCAGCACGUGAGGCUACGGCGGAUGCCAAGGUACUCCGCGGCGGCUCCGGCAGCUCCAACAGCUCCACGCCUGCGAACGACGGCGCUGACGCAGACCGCGCCAAAGUGGCGCAAGAGCGGACGACGCAGUGGGCAGCCGAGCACGCCCGCGCUCCAGGUGGAGAUGCGCACCGCGACGGCGGCUGCAACGACCAGGACCGCGGCCUCUACGAGGUCCGGACUGUGGUCAGGGAUGUUGGUCCCAGUGUCGGGUGGCCUACCCUCACUAAAACCAACUACGUCGAGUGGGCCAGGAUCAUGAAGAUCAGGCUCCAGGUGCGGCGCAUGUGGGAGGCAGUCCAGGACAGCAACGUCGACCACCAGGAGGACCGACGGGCGCUGGACGCCCUCAUCGCCGCAAAGUUGGUGAAGUUUGGUGAUGCCACCUACACCGAGGAGAGAGCUGUCGAGAAGCUUUUUCGGUGCAUCCCCGAGAAGUACAAGCAGAUGGCUCGGUCGAUCGAGUCUUUGCUGGACCUCUCCACGAUGAUAAUCGAGGAGGCGAUAGGUCGCCUCAAGGUCGUCGACACCAACGAGCCACAGCCUUCCUCGGGGCCCAUCACCAACGGCGGGAAGCUGCUCCUAACUCGGGAGUCGUGGGAAGCCAGCCUUGGUGACAGGAAGAAGGGGGAGCCUUCUUCCACGACGGGCGGCCGCAAGCGUGGCAAGCAGCACACCAGAACGGUGCAGCUCCUGGUGGACAGCAAGUCUGCCCUGGCCCUAGCAAAGAACCCCAUGUUCCACGAACGGAGCAAGCACAUCCGACUGAGGUAUCACUUCAUCCGCAGCUGUGUGGAAGAAGGGAGCAUCGAGGUGAGCUACAUCAACACCACGGACCAGCUCGCAGACCUGCUCACCAAGCCUCUUGGGAGGGUCAAGUUCCUCGAGCUUUGCUCCAGGAUCGGGAUGAUUCAACUCUCCCACAAGACGACGUACAAGACUUAG
rnacentral:rRNA from 1 species